UACAGAGGUCUCAAGCGUUGUCCGGAAUUACUGGGCGUAAAGGGCUCGUAGGCGGCCAACUAAGUCAGACGUGAAAUCCCUCGGCUUAACCGGGGAACUGCAUCUGAUACUGGAUGGCUUGAGUUCGGGAGAGGGAUGCGGAAUUCCAGGUGUAGCGGUGAAAUGCGUAGAUAUCUGGAGGAACACCGGUGGCGAAGGCGGCAUCCUGGACCGACACUGACGCUGAGGAGCGAAAGCCAGGGGAGCAAACGGG
rnacentral:rRNA from 1 species